CUGAUGAUGACCAUUUGUUGCUUAGCCCUUGCUGACAUCUCCUGAUGUUUAUUUGUUUCUGA
rnacentral:snoRNA from 1 species